AAGGACAUAGCUCAAUGGUAGAGUGAGUGCUUAGAAUGCACAAGGUCCUGGGUCCAGUCCCCAGUAUCUCUA
rnacentral:tRNA from 1 species